GUCAUUCGGGUACUGAUCAAUGUCUACAUCUUUAUAAUUAAUGACCCUUAUAUUGCCAUCUGGUUUUUAGGUUGGAACAGUUUUUAUGGUGAUAGUUUACAACUUCUUGUGGGGUUCAUGUCUCCCUCAUGGAGCAUCACCAAGUUGUUUCGCAUCAGGUAUGCGAAGCAAAAACAAAUUUGUGGGUCCUGUAUAUCCAAAGGACCCUCUCCACCACCACUAUUGCAGCUAUGACCAUUCUCCUGCAGCAGGGGCACCACGGUGGGAAGGGAGAUAUAUCCAACGGAGAUGGGCAGGCGGUCAAGGUAUUCGAGCACUUGGUGUUUACUCCAUCCAGAAGGUUGUCCUUGAAUAAUUAAUAAACUGGCUGCAUGCAUCGCCUAGAUGCAGAGCCCGGGGAUAAUCCUCCUUUUCUAAAAAAAAAUCUAGAAGGUUGUCCUACCCAUAGAAACCUCUGUGGGAAGACUCCAUUCUGGUCAGCACCACCACUCCAUCUGUGCAUACCACCACUCCAUCUGUGCAGCCACAAUGGAUUGCACAUGUUAGCCAUUGUUCCUCAUCUAUUGUAGAUAUGGUAGAGCGCAGUUCUUAUUGUCGACUGUGGAUAUGCUAAUUUUCCAUGCAUUGAGUUUUCAUUAGAGCUAUGGAUUUUGCUUCAUAGGCUGAUAAGAGCAACUUAAAUUAACAAGUCGGCAACCUUUGAAUGUGUAGACCAGAAUGAGAAGAUUGUUGCCCCGAGCUAACAAAUCUCUAUAUCCAACAUGGACUUAUAAGAUUUCCUACUAUAGACUUCAUGUUUUGUUUAUGUCUCUAUGAUACUAUUUUUGCCUUUCCUCUUUCCAUCUACUUUUUUCAUUGAUCCACAAUCAGGUAAUAAAACUUGCAUGAAUAUAGAUGCAAAAAUCUCAUCACUCAUUGGUACACUGAUGCUGCUGGCAGCUUAACAACCUUCUGUUCACUCAUGGGACUUCUAGGAUCAAUGAUGUAUGCUUAAACAUUAAACUGUGAGUGCAUACUGGCAAGGCAACCAAGAUUUUAGGCCUCUACAUAUUGUUUUGAUACUUUUGACCACAUGCCCUUUAUAGUUUGAUCAGAUGGAGUUUUUUGUGUGGCUAAAGCGUCUUGUUAUGUAACUAAAAAGAUGAUGAAGUUACUGUUGAGGGCAGAACCAUGCAGAGAAGAAGAGGUUGCAAGAGAAGAAGCCACAUAAGAAAUUCUCUACUUUUUUAAGGCUCUUGUACUGUGUUUAUUAUUGUCCUGAGUUCUUGAAGAGGAUUAUGUACUAUGUAUAUUAUUCUAUUAACAAGUUAUGCCCAUUAUUUUGAAUCUUUUUACUGCUGCUCAGAAUGAAUUUCAUUUUACUUAGUUGUUUUUUAAUAAUUGUAGGUAUUUAG
rnacentral:lncRNA from 1 species